UACGUAGGGGCCUAGCGUUGUCCGGAAUUAUUGGGCGUAAAGAGCUCGUAGGCGGUUUGUCGCGUCUGCUGUGAAAUCGCCCGGCUCAACUGGGCGGGGUCAGCGGAUACGGUCGAGCUUGAGCAAGCUAGGGGGUAAUGGAAUUCCCGGUGUAGUGGUGGAAUGCGUAGAUAUCGGGAGGAACACCAGUGGCGAAGGCGGUUACCUGGGGCUUUGCUGACGCUGAUGCGCGAAAGCGUGGGGAGCGAUCCGG
rnacentral:rRNA from 1 species